rnacentral:rRNA from 1 species
AUUGAACGCUGGCGGCAGGCCUAACACAUGCAAGUCGAGCGGAUGACGGGAGCUUGCUCCUUGAUUCAGCGGCGGACGGGUGAGUAAUGCCUAGGAAUCUGCCUGGUAGUGGGGGACAACGUUUCGAAAGGAACGCUAAUACCGCAUACGUCUUACGGGAGAAAGCAGGGGACCUUCGGGCCUUGCGCUAUCAGAUGAGCCUAGGUCGGAUUAGCUUGUUGGUGAGGUAAUGGCUCACCAAGGCGACGAUCCGUAACUGGUCUGAGAGGAUGAUCAGUCACACUGGAACUGAGACACGGUCCAGACUCCUACGGGAGGCAGCAGUGGGGAAUAUUGGACAAUGGGCGAAAGCCUGAUCCAGCCAUGCCGCGUGUGUGAAGAAGGUCUUCGGAUUGUAAAGCACUUUAAGUUGGGAGGAAGGGUUGUAGAUUAAUACUCUGCAAUUUUGACGUUACCGACAGAAUAAGCACCGGCUAACUCUGUGCCAGCAGCCGCGGUAAGAC